UACGUAGGGGGCAAGCGUUGUCCGGAUUUAUUGGGCGUAAAGAGCGUGUAGGCGGCCAGACAGGUCCGCUGUGAAAACUCGAGGCUCAACCUCGAGAUGUCGGUGGAAACCGUCUGGCUAGAGUCCGGAAGAGGAGAGUGGAAUUCCCGGUGUAGCGGUGAAAUGCGCAGAUAUCGGGAGGAACACCAGUGGCGAAGGCGGUUACCUGGAGCUUUGCUGACGCUGAUGCGCGAAAGCGUGGGGAGCGAUCCGG
rnacentral:rRNA from 1 species